rnacentral:rRNA from 1 species
GACGAACGCUGGCGGCGUGCUUAACACAUGCAAGUCGAACGGAAAGGCCCUGCUUUUGUGGGGUGCUCGGGUGGCGAACGGGUGAGUAACACGUGAGUAACCUGCCCUUGACUUUGGGAUAACUUCAGGAAACUGGGGCUAAUACCGGAUAGGAGCUCCUGCUGCAUGGUGGGGGUUGGAAAGUUUCGGCGGUUGGGGAUGGACUCGCGGCUUAUCAGCUUGUUGGUGGGGUAGUGGCUUACCAAGGCUUUGACGGGUAGCCGGCCUGAGAGGGUGACCGGCCACAUUGGGACUGAGAUACGGCCCAGACUCCUACGGGAGGCAGCAGUGGGGAAUAUUGCACAAUGGGCGGAAGCCUGAUGCAGCAACGCCGCGUGCGGGAUGACAGCCUUCGGGUUGUAAACCGCUUUCGCCUGUGACGAAGCGUGAGUGGCGGUAAUGGGUAAAGAAGCACCGGCUAACUACGUG